GCACUCACUCCUUCAUGAGACUGUAGAAGAAGAAUAAAUCAUGCUUUAAAACAUCUUUAAAAGGUUCUGUCUCUCUUGCAAAAUCCCGAUAUUUAGUGAAUGAAAAAUUUUAUGGUUCAUCACAUGUUACUCCACUGGACAGAAGGAAAAACCAAGCAGAAGUAGCUGUUUUCAGUAUAGAAGAGCUUGGAGACUGUGGCACAUAACAGAAAUGCAGAAAAACCCCGGUUUUAGUCAAAUGCAAUGGUUCUGACACUGCAUGGGAGAUCCUCCAGUGAUAUCAGCAAUGGAAAGACAUGGAAAAGGCAAUUUGCUCUUGAAAAGGUCUGGUGUUGUCCCAUGUGAUGUCAGAAGACUCAAGGUGGGUUAGCCAAGGUUAUUCCAGGG